UACGUAGGGCGCAAGCGUUGUCCGGAAUUAUUGGGCGUAAAGAGCUCGUAGGCGGUUUGUCGCGUCUGUCGUGAAAGCUUGGGGCUUAACCCUAAGUCUGCGGUGGAUACGGGCAGACUAGAGGCAGGUAGGGGAGAACGGAAUUCCCGGUGUAGCGGUGAAAUGCGCAGAUAUCGGGAGGAACACCGGUGGCGAAGGCGGGUCUCUGGGCCGAUAUUGACGCUGAGGAGCGAAAGCGUGGGGAGCGAACAGG
rnacentral:rRNA from 1 species